rnacentral:rRNA from 1 species
UGCGCCUGCUGUGAAAGACCGGGGCUUAACUUCGGGGUUGCAGUGGGUACGGGCAGACUAGAGUGUGGUAGGGGUAAUUGGAAUUCCUGGUGUAGCGGUGGAAUGCGCAGAUAUCAGGAGGAACACCGAUGGCGAAGGCAGGUUACUGGGCCAUUACUGACGCUGAGGAGCGAAAGCGUGGGUAGCGAACAGGAUUAGAUACCCUGGUAGUCCACGCCGUAAACGUUGGGCACUAGGUGUGGGGCCUUUUCCAUGGGUUCUGCGCCGUAGCUAACGCAUUAAGUGCCCCGCCUGGGGAGUACGGCCGCAAGGCUAAAACUCAAAGGAAUUGACGGGGGCCCGCACAAGCGGCGGAGCAUGCGGAUUAAUUCGAUGCAACGCGAAGAACCUUACCAAGGCUUGACAUACACUGCGAUGUGCCAGAGAUGGUGCAGCCUUUGGGGUGGUGUACAGGUGGUGCAUGGUUGUCGUCAGCUCGUGUCGUGAGAUGUUGGGUUAAGUCCCGCAACGAGCGCAACCCUUGUCCUGUGUUGCCAGCAAGUUGUGUUGGGGACUCACGGGAGACUGCCGGGGUUAACUCGGAGGAAGGUGGGGAUGACGUCAAAUCAUCAUGCCCCUUAUGUCUUGGGCUUCACGCAUGCUACAAUGGCCGGUACAGAGGGUUGCGAGCCUGUGAGGGUGAGCUAAUCUCUUAAAGCUGGUCUCAGUUCGGAUUGGGGUCUGCAACUCGACCCCAUGAAGUCGGAGUCGCUAGUAAUCGCAGAUCAGCAACGCUGCGGUGAAUACGUUCUCGGGCCUUGUACACACCGCCCGUCACGUCACGAAAGUUGGUAACACCCGAAGCCCGUGGCCUAACCUUUGUGGGGGGA